rnacentral:rRNA from 1 species
UACGGGGGGGGCAAGCGUUGUUCGGAAUUACUGGGCGUAAAGGGCUCGUAGGCGGCCAACUAAGUCAGACGUGAAAUCCCCCGGCUUAACCAGGGAACUGCGUCUGAUACUGGAUGGCUUGAGUUUGGGAGAGGGAUGCGGAAUUCCAGGUGUAGCGGUGAAAUGCGCAGAUAUCAGGAAGAACACCCGUGGCGAAGGCGGCUCUCUGGGACGGUACUGACGCUGAGACGCGAAAGCGUGGGGAGCGAACAGG